rnacentral:rRNA from 1 species
UACGUAGGGCGCAAGCGUUGUCCGGAAUUAUUGGGCGUAAAGAGCUCGUAGGCGGCCUGUCGCGUCCGCUGUGAAAUCCCGGGGCUUAACCCCGGGCGUGCAGUGGAUACGGGCUGGCUGGAGGCAGGCAGGGGAGAACGGAAUUCCCGGUGUAGCGGUGAAAUGCGCAGAUAUCGGGAGGAACACCGGUGGCGAAGGCGGGUCUCUGGGCAAUAACUGACGCUGAGGAGCGAAAGCGUGGGGAGCGAACAGG